GCAUUAUGUCCUGAGCUCUGACAGCUUUAACUAGACAGGAAAACACAAGCACCUUUACUCUGAUAACAGUUGGUGCAUUGAUAGUCUUUACCCACCUUAUCUGAAGAAUAAUAAAUGCUUCAGUUCCUCAGUUUGUCCUUAUUGCAUUUCUUGGUUGAUUUUUUAUUUCCUUUGCCUUUUUAGUGUCAGAUUCCUCAGAUAAUCAGGAAAAAAAUCCCCAACCUUUCGACCUGCACUGAAGGGAUGACUGAGCAAACUGGCAGCAAGACACCUUCCAAGUGCUCUAUGGAUUAAGAAUGGCCAGACAUUUUCCAAGGCCCUGUGAAGUGGUGGCUUUGUUAACACUGAUGUCAAAGGGAUGCAGAGCAGUUACCCCUGUCAAGGCAAAAAAGCUCCUACUAUGAGGACACCGUGCUUUAAUGAGUCUAACUGAAGGAAAAGGUGUAACAGUGGUGGAAUUGGUGAUAGAAAUUGUGCCAGAGAAGGAUGAAGAGUAAAACAGGACUGUUGGUGUUGAAAAUACCUUGCAGUUUCAGCAUGGUUCUGCCCUUCCUCUGGAAAAGGAUCUGGCCCAAUGUGAACCCUGAAUAUUGCAACAAAACACCCACUGAAAGAAGAGAGAGGAGAGAGAGAGAAUCGGUGCCAACUUUUCUUCUUAAGCGAAAGAACUUCCUCACU
rnacentral:lncRNA from 1 species